GGGCAUCCGUUCAAAUAAAAAUGCGUCAUGAUAUUGUGUUUUAGAGGAUGACAGGUGCUGUGGAGUUGGGAGACUGAGACUGUCAGGAGCGAGGAGGGAUGGCUGUAAUUUUAAAUAGUGGCAUCAUCAGGAUGAACCUUGCUGAACUGAAGCCCCUUCCAUGACACUAAAGUAAGAAGAUAAUUCUGGUCAUUUCAUCCAAGCCCUUCAGAUUGGCAGGUGUUUGGUUCAAACAUAUAUUCAGGACAUGACUUAUUUUGAUAUUUGAGGAGCCCUCUUCUCUCCAUCCCCUCCGGAAAAAAAAAAAGUUGAUUUUCCUUGUGAUUCUUCUGGAACUCCGAGGCAACCUGUUUUCCCAAGAACAGGGCACCGAGGUGGUCGCAAGGGUGCGGAGGGAGGAUCGCCCCUGUGGGAGAGGCGCGCCGGUCUCUCUCAGGGACCUGUAGCUACACGCAGAAGAUGCUGCCAAUUGCGCGGAGGUCUCUGACGCUUGGUGCUGAGGACAUUGUACUAAUUUAAAUGGUAUCAGAGUGAACACGAUGCUACAUGUAGAAUGAAACUUCCCAAGCCCUCACCUGAAGAGACAAGGCUGAAGUCAUAAACAUCAUACGUGGUUUGUAAAUGAAAAGUAUUGCAAACCUGCUUCUCUUCUGUGCUGGGGUCUGUACCAAUGUUCAUUGAACCAAACAAGGUCCCUAUCUUACAGAAGAUGCUUCUUGAAGGAUGGCGUGUUAAUCUUCUAAGUAUGUUCUGGUUGCGAGGAUAGAGCACUGUCACAGCUACAGCUAUACCUGUGCAAAGCCAGGAAUAACACGCUCCCUAGGAGAGUCUCUAGCCUUAAUCUGUAGCUGCAAAUAGAAAUGACAAUUCAUUUUCUCAAUAAUGAAAUGUUUUUGGGUAGGGCUAAAAGCAGAAUGAACCACCAAAAAGCCCCUUUUGACAUGGUGCCUGUGUAAAGACAAA
rnacentral:lncRNA from 1 species